GAUGAACGCUGGCGGCGUGCCUAAUACAUGCAAGUAGAACGCUGAAGGAAGGAGCUUGCUCUUUCCGGAUGAGUUGCGAACGGGUGAGUAACGCGUAGGUAACCUGCCUGGUAGCGGGGGAUAACUAUGGGAAACGAUAGCUAAUACCGCAUAACAGUAGAUGUUGCAUGAUAUCUACUUAAAAGGUGCAAUUGCACCACUACCAGAUGGACCUGCGUUGUAUUAGCUAGUUGGUGAGGUAACGGCUCACCAAGGCGACGAUACAUAGCCGACCUGAGGGGGUGAUCGGCCACACUGGGACUGGGACCCGGCCCCGGAUCCUAAGGGAGGCAGCAGUAGGGAAUCUUCGGCAAUGGGCGGAAGUCUGACCGAGCAACGCCGCGUGAGUGAAGAAGGUUGUCGGAUCGUAAAGCUCUGUUGUAAGAGAAGAACGAGUGUGAGAGUGGAAAGUUCACACUGUGACGGUAUCUUACCAGAAAGGGACGGCUAACUACGUG
rnacentral:rRNA from 1 species